UCUAGGAGUUCCCUUAUGGUGUGCAGUGGGUUAAGGAUCCAGUAUUGUCACUGCAGAGGCUUGGGUCGCUGCUGUGGCAUGAGUUUGAUCCUUAGCCCAGGAUCUUCCAUAUGCCAUGGGCAUGGCCAAAACAAAACAAACAAAAAAGCACAUCUAAAAGUUGAGAAUUAUGCCUUAUUGGGGCAUUACUGAGGACAGUAGGCCUGGGAUAUAUCCAGGGGUGACAGGUGGGAGGCAGGUACAUUGGCUGAUGGCUUUAUUGCUGCAUACUUUGUUUAUUGAAAUGCCUGGCAAUAUUCUUUCUCAAUAGAUGUAUUGAUCACCAAUCCUGCGAGGACCUAGGUGUGAAGAUACCAGCCAGCAGCCCAAGUCCUCUGGAGUGACAGCUCCAGAGAACAAAUCCAAUAGAUGGUAUUAGACAGUCAGCAGGGCCUCACAGAUGCUUGUGCAAUUUUUUUUGUACAAGGAUACCCUACUGAGGGGACAUCAAUUUGGGUUGAAAUUUAGCCUCCAUUCCACUCACUACGGGCCCUUUGUAGUUGUUUUGCCUGGAGAUGGUACAUUGUGGUAAUUCCUCCUUGUACAAAGAUGCUGUCCAAAAGUGUAGACCUGGCAAUAAGACUCCACUCAGCGUUUGGUUCUACUCCCAUGGGCCUCUUGAAAAUAUAGAACCCUUUCAUAGAGAACAUAUGCUAUGGUAAGCGCUGAGAAGGCAUAACCCUAUUCCUCUGGAACCAUGCUUUUGGUUUCUGUGAUAUUGUGAUUUAUAAGAGAAAUAUAUAUUUGCUCAUUCAGAUGACCAAAAUAUACUUCUCAUAUAUAUUUGCCCAUUAUCCUUGGUGCCUGGAUCAUAGCUCCCAAAACUCUCGGAGUUUUAAGUAUUAGAGAGAUUAAGGUCCUUUUGUUAUGUUAAUGAGGUGGCUUUCAAACAGAGCCUAAAAGUGGGAGCCAAGGAGCCAACCAAGUGAUUGAGGGUAGAAACUUUCAUUUCCACCCCCGCCUUCAACCUCCAGGGAAGGGAGAAGAGCUUGAAGUUGAAUUAAUGGACAAUAGCCAAUGAUUUAAUUGAAUAUUACUAUGUAAUGAAGCCUCCAUAUAAACCCAAGGACUGGGUUUGGAGAUCUUCCAGUUUGGUGAAGCUGUGGAGAUUUGGGGAGAAUGGUGACCUCUGAGAGGGCCUGGAAGCUUCCUUGCCCUUUCCCGCCUAUCUUGCUCUGUGCAUCUCUUCUGUCUGGCUGUUCUUGAGUUAUAUCCUUUUAUAAUGAACUGGUAGUCUAGUGAGUAAAAUGUUUCUCAGAAUUUUGUGAGGUGCUCUAGCAAAUUAAUCAAACCUGAGAAGGUGGUCGUGAGAACCUCUGAUUUGUAAUUAGUUGGCCAGAAGUACAGGUAAUAAUUUGAACUUGCAACUACCCUUUGAAGUUUGGGGACGGAGCAGUGGGGGAACAAUCUUGUGGGGCUGAUCCCUUUACCUGUGGGGAAUCUGAUCCUCUCUCUGAGUAGGUAGUGUCAGAAUUGACUUAAAUUCUAGGGUACCCAGCUGGUGUUCCCCUCUCCCUAUUGGAAAUUGAGUUUCAGAAUACCAAAAGAGUUCCAUAAUAUUUCUAGAAAUCAUACAAGGAUCAUGUUAGUGAUAUAAUGGAAAGAACUGAGACUUUGUAGUUAGAAAGCCCCAGAUUUCAAUCCUGAUUUCAACACUUAACUGCUUUGUGAACUUGGUCAAGUUAAUGAAAAUUUGGGAUAUACAAUAUCUCUAUAACAUUUUAAAUGGUCAUAUAUACUGUGAAUUUUAUUAAACAUUGGUGAAAUUUGAUACAUAAGUAGAAAGAAACAAUUUUUGAAAGAAAGAAGUAACUAGAUUGCUAUUUUAAGGUGAAUUUGUCAUCUUUCCUGCAAUAUUUACUGUAGGUAAAAAUCACCUCUACUUCAUGUUGACUGAUAGAAUAUAUGCAUGAUUCUUACAAUUCUGUGAAUUCUGGAAUUUAGAGAGACAUCUCUUAUAUAAUGACUGCCUCUAGGAUUUAGAGAAAAUGACUCCCCAUGCUGUAAUCUGGCCCACUGGGGUUUGAGCUGCAGAGGGGUGAUGCCCCACAUCACUGUAUCUUGAAUAGGUCGAGAUUCAAGAGCAGCAACUAAAUUACAUAAAGUCAUUGCACUGUCUGCCGUGCCAGCUUUACAAUUAUGUUUCAAAAUUGAUAGAUGGCUAUGAAAAUCCUAUUCUGUUAACAAAGUUUUUUUUUUUUUUUCUUUAAUUUCCGAAGUAGAAAUAGUUCUGUGGGGAAGGGCCCAUUGCAUGUAGAAUACACUUAUCCACAACAAUAUUCCAAGGUUCUUAUUUACACAUGAAUGGGAAAAACCAAAUGAAGGUUCUAGGUAGCUUUCAUUGUUAGAAUAUGUAAUAUUCUAAGUAUUCUAGUAUAUAUAUUCUGUAGUUGUUGGGCAUAAGAUGUUCUGCAGGAAUCCUGAUGUGUUACCUAAGAAAUAUAUAACUACCAAACCAAGCUCCAGUAAUAUCCUUAUAAUUCUUACUAGCUCUGGGUAUAUGGAAACUAGCUCUCCCCAAAAUGAUUUCCUUUCCAGUAGAUACUCUUAGCAAACAACAUUGAAUCUUAGAGAAUGUUCUCCAUGUUAUUUGGGCUAAUCAUUUUUAUAAUUUGAUAUGUGAUUCAUAUAUUUAAUUCUGUUCCAUAUCUGUUCUGUUAUUUUCAGGUGGGACUGGGUCAAAACCCAUAUUAACUUGUGAUUUCCCUGGCUCACAAAUUUCCACUACUCUGGAGCAUUUUACUUCCAUAAUAGACCAUAGAAUUAAGCUUUAUCCAAAAAUUGGUUUUCAUAGCAUCUACAUUCCUUGAAAUCACAUCUGUUGUUGAAUUUUACUUUGCUAAAGAAUAUUGUCUUUCACAUGACUCCUUUUAAUGUGUCUUUGGUUUUUUAUUGUUGACUUUAUUGAUGACAUUUUGGGGAGAAGCGUUAAAUUAGAUUUGCAACUUUUUUGGCUGCUAUAACGUCUAUAAAACUUUAACUACAAAGUAAUAUUGGCAAAAUAAUAAUUUUAUACUGCAUAAAACACUUAAUCAAAUUUAAUUUGACCUUUCCCCUUCCUUUUCUUGAUUGAAUAGCUUCCUUCUGUUGGGAUCCUUAGAUUUGACAAGCUAGUUCAGCAAGGAAUAUGUUUGUUUGGUUGAUCAAGUUUCUAGAAUUUCAUUUUAAUGUAUGCUUUUAUUAAAAUAAUUUAUAUAUAAGGGUGGGGUGUGAUUUCAGCAUUUGGUAGGGAUUAUUUGGACAUUUUUCCCCCUUCUUUCAUGUGGAUGUCUUUCUAUUCAAAACAUCCCUUUGCCAGAUAAUGGUGUAAAUAUUCCAGGCCUCCUCACUCACUCCAAAAUAAAAAGUUUAAAUGAUCUUUUCUUUGUUCUUAUCACGAAAUCAUCCAUUCCUCAGCCGAAAAAUACUAUUCAUGGUUUAAAUUUUGGCUCAACAUUAGGUGCAAAGGAAACACUUUCUCUUCUGUAUUAUUUCAGUUUAGAUGUUAGGUCCCCUAACUGAUAGAUUUGGAUCGUAUGAACCUGUAUUGUGAAUGAACAUUGGGCUAGCUCUCCUCAUCCCUAGAUGGCCUUCUUGGUAUUCUAUCUACUUGGGGGCAGGUUUCUGGCCACCUGUCACUAAACUCCCCCAUGGACAGGUCUCCUGACAUCCUAAUGUCAUUUGCGUAACACGUUUAACCUUCCUGGUGUUCUAUGAGUUGACUAUACUACAAUUUAACAUUUCCAAAUUUAGCUGAGUUCUUAGCAUUUCUUUUAGAAGACAGUCUUUUUAUCACUCCACAGUAAGCAUCUUUUUCCAUUCCUCUCAAUAGCAGUCUCCAGCUAUGUCUUCCUCACAGUAGAUGAUUAGGCCUUCUAAUUUCACCAAGAAAAUUAAGGUUAUCAAGCAUGAAUGCCCUCAACUUUCUUCAUCUCUAUCUUCAAAAUAUACUUUAAAAUAUGCUUAAAAAUAUGCUCAAAAGCACUUUUUCUCCUUCCCUGUUUUUGAGUAACAAACAUAUUUUGCCAAUAUUUUCUAAUCUAUCCUUUUGCUUUCUACUUUCUUGAUACAAUCCCACAAUUCAGACUGUCAUCAUCUGUCAUCUUCUAUCAUUGUCUUCAGUCUUGUUCCCCAACCUCCCAAUGCAUUCUUCUUUUCAGUAUAGCCAGAGCGAUUUACCACUCAAGUCAUGUCAUUCCUCUGUUCCCAAUUCUUUGUCCUUUGAGCUCAGAAAUCCUGUGAUUAAAAUCCAUGCUUGAUAGCACAUACUCUAAGACAAACCUCUAUUCAGCUCUCUGAUCCCUUUUUUGGCAUCCCAUUUAGGAAAGUGAACAGUCUUUGGACUAAUUUGGAAUAGAGUGACUUCUCUUUACAUCAGUGGUGAUGGGGGAAGAACUAGCUACAUCAAGAUUUUACUGUGUAUAGGUGUUUUUGAAGCUAUGACUUGACUUAUGAUAUAUAAAUUCCUAUUGUAAUGAGCUAUGUUAUGACAUUGUCAUUUACUUGAAGUGGAUUUGAUGUUGGGAAAAGCUUGUCUAGAAUUGUCUUUAUACCCAUUUUCCUCCAAGAGGUUCAAGAGGUCAUUUUUUUUCCUCUUUCUUCACUAUAAUCUCCUAAUUUUCCUCACUUGAAUACAGUUUUAUAAAAUAUAAUAACGAAGUUCCCAUUGUGGCUCAGUGGUUAACGAGCCCAACUUGCAACCAUGAGGAUGUGGGUUCAAUCCCUGACCUCACUCAGUGGGUUGCCAUGAGCUGUGGUGUGGGUCGCAGACACAGCUUGGAUAUGGUGUUGCUGUGGCUGUGGCGUAGGCCAGAGGCUACAGUUCGAUUCGACUCCUAGCCUGGGAACCUACAUAUGCC
rnacentral:lncRNA from 1 species